rnacentral:rRNA from 1 species
AAGCUCGUAGUUGAAUUUCGGGGUUCCACCGUUGGUCGGGCUAACCAGUCUGUACUAGCGUGUAGAAUUCUUACCUUCUGGGGAACCAUCAUGUUAUUAAUUUAGCGUGGUAGGAAACCAGGACCUUUACCUUGAAAAAAUUAGAGUGUUCAAAGCAGGCUUACGUCUGAAUACAUUAGCAUGGAAUAAUAAAAUAGGACGGUGGUCCUGUUUUGUUGGUUUCUGAAUCACCGUAAUGAUUAAUAGGGAUAGUUGGG